UACGGAAGGCAGCAGUGGGGAAUAUUGCACAAUGGGCGCAAGCCUGAUGCAGCCAUGCCGCGUGUAUGAAGAAGGCCUUCGGGUUGUAAAGUACUUUCAGUCGUGAGGAAGGUGUUAAGGUUAAUAACCUUAGCAAUUGACGUUAGCGACAGAAGAAGCACCGGCUAACUCCGUGCCAGCAGCCGCGGUAAUACGGAGGGUGCGAGCGUUAAAUCGGAAUUACUGGGCGUAAAGGGCACGCAGGCGGUUAAUUAAGUUGGAUGUGAAAUCCCCGGGCUUAACCUGGGAAUGGCAUUCAAGACUGGUUAGCUAGAGUCUUGUAGAGGGGGUAGAAUUCCAUGUGUAGCGGUGAAAUGCGUAGAGAUGUGGAGGAAAUACCGGUGGCGAAAGGCGGCCCCUGGACAAAAGACUGACGCUCAUGUGCGAAAGCGUGGGGAGCAAAACAGGGAUUAGAUACC
rnacentral:rRNA from 1 species